GGGUUGUGAGGUUAAGCGACUAAGCGUACACGGUGGAUGCCCUGGCAGUCAGAGGCGAUGAAGGACGUGCUAAUCUGCGAUAAGCGUCGGUAAGGUGAUAUGAACCGUUAUAACCGGCGAUUUCCGAAUGGGGAAACCCAGUGUGUUUCGACACACUAUCAUUAACUGAAUCCAUAGGUUAAUGAGGCGAACCGGGGGAACUGAAACAUCUAAGUACCCCGAGGAAAAGAAAUCAACCGAGAUUCCCCCAGUAGCGGCGAGCGAACGGGGAGCAGCCCAGAGCCUGAAUCAGUGUGUGUGUUAGUGGAAGCGUCUGGAAAGGCGCGCGAUACAGGGUGACAGCCCCGUACACAAAAAUGCACAUAUUGUGAGCUCGAUGAGUAGGGCGGGACACGUGGUAUCCUGUCUGAAUAUGGGGGGACCAUCCUCCAAGGCUAAAUACUCCUGACUGACCGAUAGUGAACCAGUACCGUGAGGGAAAGGCGAAAAGAACCCCGGCGAGGGGAGUGAAAAAGAACCUGAAACCGUGUACGUACAAGCAGUGGGAGCACGCUUCGGCGUGUGACUGCGUACCUUUUGUAUAAUGGGUCAGCGACUUAUAUUCUGUAGCAAGGUUAACCGAAUAGGGGAGCCGAAGGGAAACCGAGUCUUAACUGGGCGUUAAGUUGCAGGGUAUAGACCCGAAACCCGGUGAUCUAGCCAUGGGCAGGUUGAAGGUUGGGUAACACUAACUGGAGGACCGAACCGACUAAUGUUGAAAAAUUAGCGGAUGACUUGUGGCUGGGGGUGAAAGGCCAAUCAAACCGGGAGAUAGCUGGUUCUCCCCGAAAGCUAUUUAGGUAGCGCCUCGUGAAUUCAUCUCCGGGGGUAGAGCACUGUUUCGGCAAGGGGGUCAUCCCGACUUACCAACCCGAUGCAAACUGCGAAUACCGGAGAAUGUUAUCACGGGAGACACACGGCGGGUGCUAACGUCCGUCGUGAAGAGGGAAACAACCCAGACCGCCAGCUAAGGUCCCAAAGUCAUGGUUAAGUGGGAAACGAUGUGGGAAGGCCCAGACAGCCAGGAUGUUGGCUUAGAAGCAGCCAUCAUUUAAAGAAAGCGUAAUAGCUCACUGGUCGAGUCGGCCUGCGCGGAAGAUGUAACGGGGCUAAACCAUGCACCGAAGCUGCGGCAGCGACGCUUAUGCGUUGUUGGGUAGGGGAGCGUUCUGUAAGCCUGCGAAGGUGUGCUGUGAGGCAUGCUGGAGGUAUCAGAAGUGCGAAUGCUGACAUAAGUAACGAUAAAGCGGGUGAAAAGCCCGCUCGCCGGAAGACCAAGGGUUCCUGUCCAACGUUAAUCGGGGCAGGGUGAGUCGACCCCUAAGGCGAGGCCGAAAGGCGUAGUCGAUGGGAAACAGGUUAAUAUUCCUGUACUUGGUGUUACUGCGAAGGGGGGACGGAGAAGGCUAUGUUGGCCGGGCGACGGUUGUCCCGGUUUAAGCGUGUAGGCUGGUUUUCCAGGCAAAUCCGGAAAAUCAAGGCUGAGGCGUGAUGACGAGGCACUACGGUGCUGAAGCAACAAAUGCCCUGCUUCCAGGAAAAGCCUCUAAGCAUCAGGUAACAUCAAAUCGUACCCCAAACCGACACAGGUGGUCAGGUAGAGAAUACCAAGGCGCUUGAGAGAACUCGGGUGAAGGAACUAGGCAAAAUGGUGCCGUAACUUCGGGAGAAGGCACGCUGAUAUGUAGGUGAGGUCCCUUGCGGAUGGAGCUGAAAUCAGUCGAAGAUACCAGCUGGCUGCAACUGUUUAUUAAAAACACAGCACUGUGCAAACACGAAAGUGGACGUAUACGGUGUGACGCCUGCCCGGUGCCGGAAGGUUAAUUGAUGGGGUCAGCGCAAGCGAAGCUCUUGAUCGAAGCCCCGGUAAACGGCGGCCGUAACUAUAACGGUCCUAAGGUAGCGAAAUUCCUUGUCGGGUAAGUUCCGACCUGCACGAAUGGCGUAAUGAUGGCCAGGCUGUCUCCACCCGAGACUCAGUGAAAUUGAACUCGCUGUGAAGAUGCAGUGUACCCGCGGCAAGACGGAAAGACCCCGUGAACCUUUACUAUAGCUUGACACUGAACAUUGAGCCUUGAUGUGUAGGAUAGGUGGGAGGCUUUGAAGUGUGGACGCCAGUCUGCAUGGAGCCGACCUUGAAAUACCACCCUUUAAUGUUUGAUGUUCUAACGUUGACCCGUAAUCCGGGUUGCGGACAGUGUCUGGUGGGUAGUUUGACUGGGGCGGUCUCCUCCUAAAGAGUAACGGAGGAGCACGAAGGUUGGCUAAUCCUGGUCGGACAUCAGGAGGUUAGUGCAAUGGCAUAAGCCAGCUUGACUGCGAGCGUGACGGCGCGAGCAGGUGCGAAAGCAGGUCAUAGUGAUCCGGUGGUUCUGAAUGGAAGGGCCAUCGCUCAACGGAUAAAAGGUACUCCGGGGAUAACAGGCUGAUACCGCCCAAGAGUUCAUAUCGACGGCGGUGUUUGGCACCUCGAUGUCGGCUCAUCACAUCCUGGGGCUGAAGUAGGUCCCAAGGGUAUGGCUGUUCGCCAUUUAAAGUGGUACGCGAGCUGGGUUUAGAACGUCGUGAGACAGUUCGGUCCCUAUCUGCCGUGGGCGCUGGAGAACUGAGGGGGGCUGCUCCUAGUACGAGAGGACCGGAGUGGACGCAUCACUGGUGUUCGGGUUGUCAUGCCAAUGGCACUGCCCGGUAGCUAAAUGCGGAAGAGAUAAGUGCUGAAAGCAUCUAAGCACGAAACUUGCCCCGAGAUGAGUUCUCCCUGACUCCUUGAGAGUCCUGAAGGAACGUUGAAGACGACGACGUUGAUAGGCCGGGUGUGUAAGCGCAGCGAUGCGUUGAGCUAACCGGUACUAAUGAACCGUGAGGCUUAACCUUACAACGCCGAAGGUGUUU
rnacentral:rRNA from 1 species